rnacentral:rRNA from 1 species
AGGAUAAACGCUGGCGGCGUGCCUAACACAUGCAAGUCGAACGUCCUACGCAAGUAGGGAGUGGCGGACGGGUGAGUAACACGUGGGCAAUCUACCUUUCGGUGAGGAAUACCGGCGAGAAAUCGCCGACAAUACCGCAUACGCUUCGCAAGAAGCAAAGUCGCAAGGCGCCGGAGGAGGAGCCUGCGCCCGAUUAGCUCGUUGGUGGAGUAAUGGUCUACCAAGGCGACGAUCGGUAGCUGGUCUGAGAGGAUGAUCAGCCACACUGGGAUUGAGAACGGCCCAGACUCCUACGGGGGGCAGCAGUGAGGAAUUUUCGUCAAUGGGGGAAACCCUGAACGAGCAACGCCGCGUGCAGGAGACACUUUUCGGAGCGUAAACUGCUUUUCUCGGGACGAGUAAGGACGGUACCGAGGAAUCGAGCCCCGGCUAACUACGUGCCAGCAGCCGC